rnacentral:rRNA from 1 species
AUAUCAAUAAGCGGAGGAAAAGAAACUAACAAGGAUUCCCCUAGUAACGGCGAGUGAAGCGGGAUGAGCUCAAAUUUGAAAUCUGGCUGGUUUACCUAGUCCGAGUUGUAAUUUAAAGAAGCGUUUUCGGUGAGCAGCCUGGGUAUAAAUCCUUUGGAACAGGGUAUCGUAGAGGGUGAGAAUCCCGUCUUUGACCUACGGCUGCUUGCUUACUAUGUGAUACGUUUUCAAAGAGUCGAGUUGUUUGGGAAUGCAGCUCAAAAUGGGUGGUAAAUUUCAUCUAAGCUAAAUAUUGGCGAGAGACCGAUAGCGAACAAGUACCGUGAGGGAAAGAUGAAAAGAACUUUGAAAAGAGAGUUAAACAGUGC